GACGGAGGGUGCUAGCGUUGUUCGGAAUUACUGGGCGUAAAGGGCGCGUAGGCGGCUGCUCAAGUCGGGUGUGAAAGCCCGGGGCUCAACCCCGGAACGGCACCCGAGACUGGGCGGCUCGAGACCGGGAGAGGUGGGUGGAAUACCCAGUGUAGAGGUGAAAUUCGUAGAUAUUGGGUGGAACACCGGUGGCGAAAGCGGCUCACUGGCCCGGUUCUGACGCUGAGGCGCGAAAGCGUGGGGAGCAGCA
rnacentral:rRNA from 1 species